AAACUACUCCCUCCGUUCGGAAUUACUUGUCUCGGAAAUGGAUGUAUCUAGAACUAAAAUACAUCUAGAUACAUCCAUUUCUACGACAAGUAAUUCCGAAUGGAGGGAGUAUAUA
rnacentral:pre_miRNA from 1 species